GCCUUCGUGGUGUAGUGGUCAGCAAGCUCGGCUCGUAUUCGAGAAUUCCGUGGUUCGAGUCCCGGCGAGGGUA
rnacentral:tRNA from 1 species